GCAGUGGUGGUUCAGUGGUAGGAUCUUUGCCUUCCAUGCAGGAGACCUGGGUUCAACUCCCACCCAACGCA
rnacentral:tRNA from 1 species